rnacentral:rRNA from 1 species
AUUGAACGCUGGCGGCAGGCUUAACACAUGCAAGUCGAACGAGUGGCGGACGGGUGAGUAAUGUCUGGGAAUCUGGCUUAUGGAGGGGGAUAACGACGGGAAACGGUCGCUAAUACCGCAUACCAUAGGAUGAGCCCAGGUGGGAUUAGGUAGUUGGUGGGGUAAUGGCCUACCAAGGCGACGAUCCCUAGCUGGUCUGAGAGGAUGACCAGCCACACUGGAACUGAGACACGGCCCAGACUCCUACGGGAGGCAGCAGUAGGGAAUAUUGGGCAAUGGGCGAAAGCCUGACGGAGCAAUGCCGCGUGUGUGAAGAAGGUUUUCGGAUUGUAAAGUUCUUUUGUCAGGGAAGCGGUACCUAACGAGAAAGCCACGGCUAACUACGUGCCAGCAGCCGCGGUAAUUC